rnacentral:rRNA from 1 species
AGACGAACCGUACAAACGUUAUUCGGAAUUACUGGGCUUAAAGGGUGCGUAGGCGGCUUGGCAAGUUGGGUGUGAAAUCCCUCGGCUCAACCGAGGAAUUGCGCCCAAAACUGCCAGACUUGAGGGAGACAGAGGUGAGUGGAACUUAGGGUGGAGCGGUGAAAUGCGUUGAUAUCCUAAGGAACACCAGUGGCGAAAGCGACUCACUGGGUCUCUUCUGACGCUGAGGCACGAAAGCUAGGGGAGCGAACGGGAUUAGAAACCCCAGUAGUCC